CACGUAGGGUGCGAGCGUUGUCCGGAAUUAUUGGGCGUAAAGAGCUCGUAGGCGGUGUGUCGCGUCGGCCGUGAAAACCUGCAGCUUAACUGUGGGCUUGCGGUCGAUACGGGCAUCACUGGAGUUCGGCAGGGGAGACUGGAAUUCCUGGUGUAGCGGUGAAAUGCGCAGAUAUCAGGAGGAACACCGGUGGCGAAGGCGGGGUCUCUGGGCCGAUACUGACGCUGGAGGUG
rnacentral:rRNA from 1 species